rnacentral:rRNA from 1 species
ACGCUGGCGGCGUGCCUAACACAUGCAAGUCGAGCGAUCUUCUUCGGAAGAGAGCGGCGGACGGGUGAGUAACGCGUGGGUAACCUGCCCUGUACACACGGAUAACAUACCGAAAGGUAUGCUAAUACGGGAUAACAUAAGAAAUUCGCAUGUUUUUCUUAUCAAAGCUCCGGCGGUACAGGAUGGACCCGCGUCUGAUUAGCUAGUUGGUGAGGUAACGGCUCACCAAGGCGACGAUCAGUAGCCGACCUGAGAGGGUGAUCGGCCACAUUGGAACUGAGACACGGUCCAAACUCCUACGGGAGGCAGCAGUGGGGAAUAUUGCACAAUGGGCGAAAGCCUGAUGCAGCAACGCCGCGUGAGCGAUGAAGGCCUUCGGGUCGUAAAGCUCUGUCCUCAAGGAAGAUAAUGACGGUACUUGAGGAGGAAGCCCCGGCUAACUACGUGCCAGCAGCCGCGGUAAUACGUAGGGGGCUAGCGUUAUCCGGAUUUACUGGGCGUAAAGGGUGCGUAGGCGGUCUUUUAAGUCAGGAGUGAAAGGCUACGGCUCAACCGUAGUAAGCUCUUGAAACUGGAGGACUUGAGUGCAGGAGAGGAGAGUGGAAUUCCUAGUGUAGCGGUGAAAUGCGUAGAUAUUAGGAGGAACACCAGUAGCGAAGGCGGCUCUCUGGACUGUAACUGACGCUGAGGCACGAAAGCGUGGGGAGCAAACAGGAUUAGAUACCCUGGUAGUCCACGCCGUAAACGAUGAGUACUAGCUGUCGGAGGUUACCCCCUUCGGUGGCGCAGCUAACGCAUUAAGUACUCCCGCCUGGGGAGUACGC